UGAAACUUAUAGCUAAAACUCUGCAAGCCUCCAGGUUUUGUUUGGUAUUUAAUAUUGCUGGGAGCCCUCAUGGAUUAUCACGUAAUUCAGCAUCCCAUUCAGACUUGUGAUGACUGCAUGGGUACACUUAGAGGCGUCACUGGGGAUUUGGGGUGCAGUUUUGUGUUCAAUUUCAUCUGAUGUAACCUACUUUCCCCUUUCUGCCCUCACAUAUUCCUGCCCCUCCCUCACACAGAGUCUAGUGAUCAUGCGAAUGUGUGGUGAGUUGACAUGGAAACUAACCACACACAUGAAAAAAAAGAAAAAGAUUUGUUUUCUGCUGGUUUAGCAAACAGACCAGAUUCUUCAAGGUGAUUGUUAGAUCUGAUGCAAGGUAGCUGGGGGUGGGAGCAGGCUAAACUUGGACAUCUUUUGGUGGCUGCCUGCUAUGAUAUUGAGGUCUCCAUUGGCUCAUUAGGAAGAAAAGCAGGAAAAAUUGUUAGCAGUAAUUAGAUAUUCAAUUCAUGGGUGUUGACCAAGGAGGUUCUUUGAUACCAAACCAUCACAGAGACAGUGAAAUGGAGCUGGCAUGCCACCAGGUCACAGAGCUCAUCACACCAGUGUGCACCUGGGAUUAUGGAAAAUCUGACCACCUUCUCUGCUUAUGCGGGGCACUGACUCUUCCAGACUUCUCUUCACAAGUCUCAAAAUCCGAACAGAAGAAAAGAAGGGAGCAGAUAAGCAGAGGUGCAAAGUCGUCAUUUUAAGAAGCAUCCAAGAAACAAGCAGAGAUAAAGAAAACUGCAGCUUCUCAGUCUCCUGGGUCAGGGCUCUGCUUCAAGUUGACCUGUGCUGAGUCUUCCCUUUGUGCUUUUUGACAGACAGUAAAGGCACUGAGUCCCUCAGUCAAACUGCAGUGCCUGUUUCUGCCUCCUUAUCUCCAUCUGUGGCCUCAUCCCUUGUUCUUCCUUGGCCAUUUAUUGACAGACCUUCAGCAUGGACAGACAACAGCCUCCCCUCCUCCUUCCCCCCCAUCAUUUAUGGAGGGGAAUAAUCCCCUCUGUACAACAAUGUAGUAAAAUUAAUUGACACACAGCAAACCUCUAUUCCUACAGAAUGAAUACCAAAAUCAACAUGUGCCUGUUUUUUUCUCUUCCGGCUUUGCAUUAAAUAAACCUGUAGAAAACA